CACGAUGUUGGGCAUGGCGGCGGCGGCGGCGGCACCGCUACGGGCUCCGGCGGCGCUGCGGGCUCUGGCAGGCAGCAGGAAAGAGAAGGAGGGUUGACAACCUAUAUGUUCCUGCGGAGCUAUUGGAUCCAGCCAGCAGAGCAGAGGCUUCAGCAGCACCGCCAGCAGAGAGAACAUCUGACCAUAUUUGUAGGAUGUUUGUGUGGGGAGGAGGAAAGCAAAAGCAGCCAGGUCCUAGCACCAGCCCAUCUUCAACCUGAGCUGAGUCAUUCUGGCCUGCCUCAGAAAAUAUUUCCUAACCCUGCUCUAUAUAGUAAAAAGAUGUGGUUUUUUGUUGUUUUUUUUUCUAAGAGAAAAGGAGGAUUUCUUUGAUAACAUAAACUGAUGAGCAGUAUAAUCAGGAGUGAUGCUUGUAAGCUUUUUGCACAAAAUAGCGCAGAUAACUGUCUUUUGGCCUGACCUGAGAAAGGGAAUUUGAUGCCUGAAAGCUCUCCCAGCUACACAGUUAGUCCAAUAAAAUAUAUUACCAAAUA